rnacentral:snRNA from 1 species
GGAUGUGAGGGCAAUCUGGCUGUGACAUCUGUCACCCCAUUGAUCUCCAGGGUUGAUUCAGCUGAUCCGGCUGGCUAGGCGUGUGUCCCCUUCCUCCUUCAACGAUCCAUGUGCAUCUCUCCCGAAGUUGAGCACUCGGUCACAGAGGAUGACCACCCUGGACAGAGGAGGACCGUUCCUCGGUCAGGGGUAUACGAGUAGCUGCGCUCGCCUGCUAGAACCUCCAAACAAGCUUUCAAAAUAGCCCCCUUAUAAAGAUGGUAUUGGAGAGCAUAGAUUGCUCUUGUGAUAACAAGUGUGCUAACACU